UACUGAAAAAUUGUGAAAAAAAUUGGAAAAAAUUUUAAUUUGAAAUUUCCUCACUUCUCAAUUUUUUCACUUUGGUUAAUUACAAUUUACGAUGCCGAGGAGAAGACGGCCUGAUUUACGGUGCGAAGAACUACCUCACGUGCUAACCGCACUGAUGACCAGAGACAGACAGAUCAAGAAAAUAGUCGUAUUGCUAUGUCAGAAAUUCAGAAUUACAGAAAUGUAACAAUUGUUUCCAGAUGACAUCAUUUGGUGCUACACAUAUUAUACAAGACAAUUUCGUGCCCACUUUUAAGAUACAAGGACAAUUUUAUCACUUACUGGGAACUCUGUUACCACUACCUGAUGCAGAUCAUCAAUUUUUACAAAUUUAUUUUAUGGGCAAUUCAGAUGCGGAAAUUAAUAAUCGUUGUGCUCACAA